UCAUUUGAAUUAUAGUUAUAACAAAACAACAAUUCUGGUUUGUUUAUUGUCUCAUAAUCAAAAGGGUGGUCAGAAAAGUAUCCUUUAUAAGAAGUUAAUUUUUAUCAAAACCGUGGUCACACAAUGCUAUACAUGUAUCAUGUGGAUAUUUGAAAAACUUUAUAGAAGGUGUGUCAAUUUGUUUUAUCAACUGAUCAAAGCUUAUAUUCUUCUCAAACAUCUCAAACCGUGCGUGAAAACAAUGUUAAUUCAUUUGUGAGUUAUAAAACUGCUUGCCACCCUACUUAGAGUUUUAUCGAUAUCAGCUACCGACGCUAUUUGUGAUCACGAGUCAGUAUAAGUUUAGAGCUUUCAAUAACAAAAAUGGAAGAUAAACCAAGCGUAGCAGAAGUAGAAACAUUUGAUAAAAGUAAACUGAAAAAAACAGAAACAGUUGAAAAAAAUCCGUUGCCAACAAAAGAUGAAAUUACUGCAGAAAAGACUGCCGAAUAAUGAAGAUUCCUAUAUUAUACUAUACUUAAAAUUAUUGUAAAUCUUUCAUGGUAUAAAUAAAAAAAGCUCUAUUUA